AGUGAACGCUGGCGGCGUGCCUAACACAUGCAAGUCGAACGAUGAUGGAGGAGCUUGCUCUUCCUGAUUAGUGGCGCACGGGUGAGUAAUGCAUAGAUAAUGUGCCCCUUAGUUCGGGAUAGCCACUGGAAACGGUGAUUAAUACCGGAUACUCCUUCUUAUCAUAAGAUAAGUCGGGAAAGUUUUUCGCUAAGGGAUCAGUCUAUGUUCCAUCAGUUAGUUGGUGAGGUAACGGCUCACCAAGACAAUGACGGACAUCUGGUUUGAGAGGAUGAUCAGACACACUGGAACUGAGACACGGUCCAGACUCCUAUGGGAGGCAGCAGUGAGGAAUAUUGCACAAUGGAGGAAACUCUGUUGCAGCAACGCCGCGUGGAGGAUGACGCAUUUCGGUGUGUAAACUCCUUUAUUAGGGAAGAUUAUGACGGUACCUAAUGAAUAAGCACCGGCUAACUCCGUGCCAGCCGCCGCAGUAA
rnacentral:rRNA from 1 species